UACAGAGGGUGCGAGCGUUGUUCGGAAUUACUGGGCGUAAAGCGUGCGCAGGCGGUUUUGUAAGUCUGUCGUGAAAUCCCCGGGCUCAACCUGGGAAUUGCGAUGGAGACUGCAAGGCUAGAAUCUGGCAGAGGGGGUAGAAUUCCACGUGUAGCAGUGAAAUGCGUAGAGAUGUGGAGGAACACCGAUGGCGAAGGCAGCCCCUGGGUCAAGAUUGACGCUCAUGCACGAAAGCGUGGGGAGCAAACAGG
rnacentral:rRNA from 1 species